GGCGUGCCUAAUACAUGCAAGUCGAGCGGAAUGAUGAAGAAGCUUGCUUCUUCUGAUUUUAGCGGCGGACGGGUGAGUAACACGUGGGCAACCUACCUUGUAGAUUGGGAUAACUCCGGGAAACCGGGGCUAAAUCCGAAUAAUCCAUUUUGCUUCAUGGCGAGAUGUUAAAAGGCGGCUUCGGCUGUCACUACGAGAUGGGCCCGCGGCGCAUUAGCUAGUUGGUAGGGUAAUGGCCUACCAAGGCGACGAUGCGUAGCCGACCUGAGAGGGUGAUCGGCCACACUGGGACUGAGACACGGCCCAGACUCCUACGGGAGGCAGCAGUAGGGAAUCUUCCACAAUGGACGAAAGUCUGAUGGAGCAACGCCGCGUGAGUGAAGUAAGGUUUUCGGAUCGUAAAACUCUGUUGUAAGGGAAGAACACGUACGAGAGUAACUGCUCGUACCUUGACGGUACCUUAUUAGAAAGCCACGGCUAACUACGUG
rnacentral:rRNA from 1 species